CACGUAGGGUACGAGCGUUGUCCGGAUUCAUUGGGCGUAAAGCGCGCGUAGGCGGCUCGGAAAGUCGGGCGUGAAAUGCCGGGGCUCAACCCCGGGACUGCGUCCGAUACUGGUUGGCUUGAAUCCGGGAGAGGGAUGCGGAAUUCCUGGUGUAGCGGUGAAAUGCGCAGAUAUCAGGAGGAACACCGGUGGCGAAGGCGGGUCUCUGGGCAGUAACUGACGCUGAGGAGCGAAAGCGUGGGGAGCGAACAGG
rnacentral:rRNA from 1 species